CGCUUCUCAGUUCUCACGGAAAAACCCCUCUUUUUGAACUAAAAUCAUCCAUCUGCGGUUAGAAAAUCAGAUAGAGAGAAUGUUUGGGAGGAUCAGAGCGUCGUCUUCCUCGCCGGAGAGCUUGGAGAGGCCGCCUUCCAAGAUUCUCAAAGAUGAUCCUCUCUCCAUUUACGGAUCUGGAUUGGCGAGCAGAAACGCUGAUGAGGUCAAAUUUGAUCUUUUGAUGUGAGAGACGAGUCCCAAAAGCCUGAGGUUUACGUUGUUCUAUUAAGUUUACUUUUGGAAUUUAUCACAUUAUGAAAGUCCUGCAAUUCCAUCUUUCAUCGUAUGCUGUUACGCGAGAAUCAAUCUUAGAUCUUAACUUUGAGAGGCUACCCUAAUGAAGCUCAAAUUAGGUUCUCAACGUGAGCUAAGUUCACCCUCCGAGCAGACGGUGCAGACAGAAGUCGAUUUUGAUUUAAGCUCAUCAUCCUCUGCAGGGGCUACCAGUAAUUCCAACAGUUUUGAAAAUACUGCAAUCUCCCUUGUGAGGAGGUAAUGGCGAUAGAUACAGAAUGUUCUUCCAGAAGUGGUUCACCCGAUUCAGUUGAUUCUCGUCCCACGAGCAGCAUGAAAGAGCAACAGAGCAGGAGUAAUUCAGUUCUUUACCUCUUUUCUAAAUUUAUGAAUUCUCGAGAGGUUGUAUGUUUAUCCUGUGAGGAUGCCAUGCAAUUACAGGAUGGUUGUUCUUCCAUUGUUUCAACAACUUCCAAGUGACCGUCAAUCUCUUGGUCGCAUGGAACUGGAGAUGGAUCAGGAAUGUGUCGGCUCUUUACCUUUCUCCCAAAUGUAGGAUCCGAACUGGGUUUCUGAUCUGGAUCAGUAUUAUAAAGAUUAGAUUAGGUGCUUAAUUUUAGCUUGAUUUGCUGUACUGCAAAGUUCAUCUUGUUCAAAACCCA